rnacentral:lncRNA from 12 species
GUCAGGGCAAUUUGUAACCAAAAUGGAGUUAAAGGACAUCUUAAUUCCUUGUCUGUUUUUUUGAUCUUUCUAGCUCUUAACCCAAGCAUAUAAAUGUCUAUUUUUAUUAGCAAGGAAGUAUUGGUGAAGACUGAGUCUGGAGGUUAAUAUAGAUUCAUUACUAGGUUUUCUUUGAUAAAAAAUAUUGUAUCAACUUGGUGAGAUGUUUUCAAUAAUGGAACUUCGUCGCACUGUUCCUGUAAUUAAAUAUUGAUUCCCUAUUUCUUUCUAAAGCCUAAUGCCUUCCCUUAUUAUGUCACUCUCCCACCUGUUAAGCUCUGAUUUCAUGAGAUGUUGUCUGUGCUGUCAACAUCAGCUUAAAAUGUCCCGAUCUCUCUGCAUUUUCCUGCCCUGGCCUCACAGCACAUUGCCUCCCAGAUUUCUGCUGCUGCAGUUGUUGGUGUGCUGUAAAUCCGAUCAGGGAGCCGAGCUGGUUCUAACAAAGAGAAGCAAGAAGCUGCUGAGAGAGGCAGAGUGGUUUUCUCCAUCUUUGGAUGAGGUUCCCACCCCAGACACUUCAGCUCCAACGAGUUUUCCAGUGCCAUGGAGAUCGAGGUGCCUGAAGGAGACAGACACUGGUGCAGGACCUGAUGUGUGA